GAUGAACGCUAGCGGCAGGCCUAAUACAUGCAAGUCGAACGGUGUCUUCGGACACAGUGGCGCACGGGUGCGUAACACGGAUGCAACCUACCUUACAUUGGGGGAUAGCCUUUCGAAAGGGAGAUUAAUACCGCAUAAGACAGUAGCUGGGCAUCCAGCAGCUGUUAAAGAUUUAUCGAUGUAAGCUGGGCAUGCGUCCAAUUAGCUAGUUGGUGAGGUAACGGCUCACCAAGGCAAUGAUUGGUAGGGGAACUGAGAGGUCAAUCCCCCACACUGGCACUGAGAUACGGGCCAGACUCCUAUGGGAGGCAGCAGUAGGGAAUAUUGGGCAAUGGACGCAAGUCUGACCCAGCCAUGCCGCGUGCAGGAUGAAGGCGUUAUGCGUUGUAAACUGCUUUUAUACAGGAAGAAACGACUCUUGCGAGAGGCAUUGACGGUACUGUAUGAAUAAGCACCGGCUAACUCCGUGCCAGCAGCCGCCGUAAGAC
rnacentral:rRNA from 1 species